GCCUUCUUAGCUCAGUGGUAGAGCGUGUCACUCGUAUUUGAUUGUUGAUUAAAAGUAUAUGACAAGGUCAGUCGUUCAAGUCGGCUAGGAGGCA